rnacentral:lncRNA from 1 species
CGGCAGACAUAUACACAUCAGAGGCAGUCUGCAGAUGGGUGAGGCGCGGCCCCUGGCCUUGCUGGGCUGGAAGGAUGCUCUGGGAGGUCUGGUGUACAUGCGUUUUGACUAGGCAGGACUUGCACCCCACCUUCCAGACAGACAGUGCUUCCUCGCCCAGAACUAGCCCCACUCAUUUCCUGCCUCUCCGCUGCUGGCUCUUGCUGGCGUCUGACCUCAGUGACCUUCACAGAGUUAACCAGGGUGAGAGUGGCACUCCUGAAAAAUGCCUGGACCUUCACGACUCUGCAUCAGCUGCUCCUACUGACUGCGCGUGUGUACUUGUGUGCUCACUCUUUGGUGCAUCCGCGAUGUCCCUUUUUCUGCUGAUUUUUCUAAGGACUCAGGUAGCAGCAGGGGCUCCUGUACAUUUAACUGCUUUCUCAAGGUGGUGCUCCAGAAACCUCCCAUUUCCCUGCAAGUUCCCGGAGAUGUAGAACAGAAAGGAUCCUCCUUUUAUUAACUCUGCUUUUGCUGUCCUUGAUAGACCCUCACUCUAACCAUCUUCCUCUAGCAUGGAUUUAGGGGAAUAUGACUUGGUUUGAGUCUCAGCUCUGCACUGCUAGCUAUGUUAACUAUAAACAAGUCAAUUAAUAUUUGUAAAAUUAGGGCUUUGGAACAGAUGGUCUUUAUACCUUUCCAUAUCAAAACCCUAUGACCCAGGGAGAAAACUCUACCCUUUCCCACACCUCCUUAGGAUGGAAAUAGACCUCGUUCUUUCUAUUAAAAGUAGCAUCGAUUAUUCAACCAUCUUGUGGAGUCUAUGGAAUAAGAAUUUUCAAUCUAGAUAGUUAAAAUGAUAGCUAGUUCUAAAAGACUAACAUACAUGGAUUUAGGGUUUCAGAAAACUACAAGAAACAAGUAACAGAAGAACUCGGGUGUCUGUGAGAAUUUAGCAUGGUAAACAAGUCAUUUCAAAUCAGUAGGAAGAAUACAGAUUAUUUAGUCCAUAUGUUAAUGAGACAACUCAUUGGUAAGUCAGGAAAAAAGUUUAGAUCCCUGUCUUAUGCUACAAAGCAAAUUCUAUAUGACUUGAAAAUAUAAAUGUAAAAAAACAAAAGAGGAUAGUAAAAACAUAGGUAAUCUUGGAAUGAAGGAUACUUUUCUAUCCAUCAAUCAAAAGAAAAAAACAACAGGAACAUUGUAGGUAUACUGAUUCCUUAAAAUAAAAUAAAACAUCUCUAUGUCUACA